CCUACGGGAGGCAGCAGUGGGGAAUAUUGGACAAUGGGCGGAAGCCUGAUCCAGCAACGCCGCGUGAGGGAUGACUGCCUUCGGGUUGUAAACCUCUUUCAGCACAGACGAAGCGAAAGUGACGGUAUGUGCAGAAGAAGCACCGGCCAACUACGUGCCAGCAGCCGCGGUAAUACGUAGGGUGCGAGCGUUGUCCGGAAUUAUUGGGCGUAAAGGGCUCGUAGGCGGUUUGUCGCGUCGGGAGUGAAAACACACAGCUUAACUGUGUGCUUGCUUCCGAUACGGGCAGACUAGAGGUAUGCAGGGGAGAACGGAAUUCCUGGUGUAGCGGUGAAAUGCGCAGAUAUCAGGAGGAACACCGGUGGCGAAGGCGGUUCUCUGGGCAUUACCUGACGCUGAGGAGCGAAAGUGUGGGGAGCGAACAGGAUUAGAUACCCUGGUAGUCCACACCGUAAACGUUGGGCGCUAGGUGUGGGGCCUAGUUCCAUGGGUUCCGUGCCGCAGCUAACGCAUUAAGCGCCCCGCCUGGGGAGACGGCCGCGAGACGAACACGAAGAAGUAGAGCGUGAGACGCGCGACGACGACGACGAGGGAGAGG
rnacentral:rRNA from 1 species